CUACGGGGGGCAGCAGCGGGGAAUAUUGCACAAUGGAGGAAACUCUGAUGCAGCAACGCCGCGUGGGGGAUGACACUUUUCGGAGCGUAAACUCCUUUUAUAUAGGAAGAAGAUGACGGUACUAUAUGAAUAAGCGCCGGCUAACUCCGUGCCAGCAGCCGCGGUAAUACGGAGGGCGCAAGCGUUACUCGGAAUCACUGGGCGUAAAGAGCGUGUAGGCGGAUUAAAAAGUCAGAAGUGAAAUCCUAUAGCUUAACUAUAGAACUGCUUCUGAAACUCUUAAUCUAGAAUAUGGGAGAGGUAGAUGGAAUUUCUGGUGUAGGGGUAAAAUCCGUAGAGAUCAGAAGGAAUACCGAUUGCGAAGGCGAUCUACUAGAACAUUAUUGACGCUGAGACGCGAAAGCGUGGGGAGCAAACAGGAUUAGAUACCCCGGUAGUC
rnacentral:rRNA from 1 species